rnacentral:rRNA from 1 species
AUUGAACGCUGGCGGCAUGCCUUACACAUGCAAGUCGAACGGUAACAGGUCUUCGGAUGCUGACGAGUGGCGAACGGGUGAGUAAUACAUCGGAACGUGCCUAGUAGUGGGGGAUAACUACUCGAGAGAGUGGCUAAUACCGCAUGAGAUCUACGGAUGAAAGCAGGGGAUCGCAAGACCUUGUGCUACUAGAGCGGCCGAUGGCAGAUUAGGUAGUUGGUGGGAUAAAAGCUUACCAAGCCGACAAUCUGUAGCUGGUCUGAGAGGACGAUCAGCCACACUGGGACUGAGACACGGCCCAGACUCCUACGGGAGGCAGCAGUGGGGAAUUUUGGACAAUGGGCGCAAGCCUGAUCCAGCAAUGCCGCGUGCAGGAUGAAGGCCUUCGGGUUGUAAACUGCUUUUGUACGGAACGAAAAGCCCUGGGUUAAUACCCUGGGGUCAUGACGGUACCGUAAGAAUAAGCACCGGCUAACUACGUGCCAGCCGCCGCAGUAAAAC